GUUUCUUCAGGUUUAUUCUUAGUUACGGAUACAUAAAACAACAAAUGAUGUUACAGGAUAAUGGACAUUCAACAGCAGAUGGUAAUUGCUGGACUUCUGAUGGGAGAGUUACAUCGUUGUACAGAGCCAAGCCAAGAGUAGAUUGAGAGCCACCUCGUGUCCCUCUCUUACUAUAAGGAAGUGCCAAUACUAACGUCAGCAUAUAACUCUAGCCAUAUAAGGACAAAACCCCCACAUCCACAUUCCAGAGCUCUCGGACAAAGAAAGCCUUGUGACUUAUUGAUACCAUCUGUUACUUAUGUCAAUCCACACAUCCAUAUAUAAUCAAUAGAAACAUAGAAUAUGCAAUAUUCUACAUUCCCUCUGUUUAUGGUUUGUUUUAAAACCAUAACACAAUGUCACUAACCUGUCCAUUCAUACAUCACUUGUAUCACAUUCAUUGAGCAUAGAACAAGAUGUAGUCACAACUUUCUAUUAUAUGAGAGUUCUUAGAAGGUCGAGUUUCUAUCCCUCAUACUGCUUACUUUACUUCAAAAUCCCUCUGUUUCAGCUAUGUAUUGAUAUCCAUAUCCAUGUUACAUCAUAACUACUUGAACAUAAUAUUUACAUAUAUAUAACAAUAAUAAAUGAAUAAAAUUAAAUAUUUACAAAUGUUGAUCCAAUAAACAAUAAAGCAAUCAGAAAGAUCAACCUGCUCAGGUACAGUCAUAUCUUUGUAGAUAACAAAAUUAAGAUGAUAACUUUCUAAAUAAUAAUAACUGUGUAUCACUACCAUAUUCCUACAGACACAUAUAGCAUAGUAUUUUCAUUCUCAAUACCUGAUAUUACUUAAGUACUAAUACAUGUAUUACUAUAAUAUCCGGUCCAAUUAUAUUUCCAUUAAUCAUAUGGUUUCUAGCAACCUUAACAUCUUUAGGUCAUUUGUAUUCAUGAAUCACAUUCCUAUACCAUUAAUACCACCUAGUGAUGAUUGUAUCAGUACUUUACAAUCAUAGUAUUUAAUUUGUAUAUUCAGUAGGCUCUCACUACCUGAAAUAUACCAACACUACUUAUAAGUCUCAUUCAAAGGAUGUGUUAUCAACCAUGAAGUUCUAUUAUAAUUCUUGAAAUAAUGUUCAUGGUGUUGACAAUACUUAUUGUCCUAGAAAUUCUCCACCCAGAAAUCUUUCUAUCAUAGAUUUGAUUUUGUUUACAUAAUUAUAAUUUUCACUAAAAUUCCACCUUGUAGUUACAAACUUUUCAUUCAAUAGAAACAUAGUUUACUUUAAAAUAACUUGGAAAGAAUACUUUAAAUUCAUUAGCAUCAAUCUCUUCAUUAGCAUUGUGAUGACUUAUUAAUGUAAUACAUCUUAACCCCUUAAGGACGGAGCCAAAUGUACACAUUGUGAACAAAACAAAAUGUAAACAAAACCUGGCAUUUGCGCUACAUGUCUGUCCAACCGUAAUACACCUCUUUCAUAGUAAAUGCACCCACCCUUAUUAUAUAUCAUUUUAUUCAGGGGAAACAGGGCUUUCAUUUAAUAUCAAAUAUUUAGCUAUGAAACAUAAUUUAAUAUGAAAAAAAUGGGAGAAAAUACGAUUU
rnacentral:lncRNA from 1 species